CUUUGGACUUGCCCUUGACUCAACAGCACUUCCCAGUGGCUGGUGCCAUUUGGACUCCAGACAAUAAACCCUAACAGCCAGCUUGAAUUAAAUGACGCAUGUUGACUAUUGAGCCUCGUAGGCUCCAGUAUAGUAUGGAAAUGGAGAUAUUUUACAGUCUCAAUGGGAAAAAAACGUUUUUUUUCUGGUAGGCAAAGCGGCG